CGUUUCCACAGGGGGAGCUGUUUUCGGCUGAGAGUGAACUUUUUUAAGUUCAGACCCUUCGUACCUGAUCUAGGUAAUGCUAGCGCAGGGAUUGUGGAAAGCGAACGGC
rnacentral:ncRNA from 2 species